rnacentral:rRNA from 1 species
GGGUUGUGAGGUUAAGCGACUAAGCGUACACGGUGGAUGCCCUGGCAGUCAGAGGCGAUGAAGGACGUGCUAAUCUGCGAUAAGCGUCGGUAAGGUGAUAUGAACCGUUAUAACCGGCGAUUUCCGAAUGGGGAAACCCAGUGUGAUUCGUCACACUAUCAUUAACUGAAUCCAUAGGUUAAUGAGGCGAACCGGGGGAACUGAAACAUCUAAGUACCCCGAGGAAAAGAAAUCAACCGAGAUUCCCCCAGUAGCGGCGAGCGAACGGGGAGCAGCCCAGAGCCUGAAUCAGUGUGUGUGUUAGUGGAAGCGUCUGGAAAGGCGCGCGAUACAGGGUGACAGCCCCGUACACAAAAAUGCACAUGCUGUGAGCUCGAUGAGUAGGGCGGGACACGUGGUAUCCUGUCUGAAUAUGGGGGGACCAUCCUCCAAGGCUAAAUACUCCUGACUGACCGAUAGUGAACCAGUACCGUGAGGGAAAGGCGAAAAGAACCCCGGCGAGGGGAGUGAAAAAGAACCUGAAACCGUGUACGUACAAGCAGUGGGAGCACGCUUAGGCGUGUGACUGCGUACCUUUUGUAUAAUGGGUCAGCGACUUAUAUUCUGUAGCAAGGUUAACCGAAUAGGGGAGCCGAAGGGAAACCGAGUCUUAACUGGGCGUUAAGUUGCAGGGUAUAGACCCGAAACCCGGUGAUCUAGCCAUGGGCAGGUUGAAGGUUGGGUAACACUAACUGGAGGACCGAACCGACUAAUGUUGAAAAAUUAGCGGAUGACUUGUGGCUGGGGGUGAAAGGCCAAUCAAACCGGGAGAUAGCUGGUUCUCCCCGAAAGCUAUUUAGGUAGCGCCUCGUGAAUUCAUCUCCGGGGGUAGAGCACUGUUUCGGCAAGGGGGUCAUCCCGACUUACCAACCCGAUGCAAACUGCGAAUACCGGAGAAUGUUAUCACGGGAGACACACGGCGGGUGCUAACGUCCGUCGUGAAGAGGGAAACAACCCAGACCGCCAGCUAAGGUCCCAAAGUCAUGGUUAAGUGGGAAACGAUGUGGGAAGGCCCAGACAGCCAGGAUGUUGGCUUAGAAGCAGCCAUCAUUUAAAGAAAGCGUAAUAGCUCACUGGUCGAGUCGGCCUGCGCGGAAGAUGUAACGGGGCUAAACCAUGCACCGAAGCUGCGGCAGCGACACUAUGUGUUGUUGGGUAGGGGAGCGUUCUGUAAGCCUGUGAAGGUGUACUGUGAGGUAUGCUGGAGGUAUCAGAAGUGCGAAUGCUGACAUAAGUAACGAUAAAGCGGGUGAAAAGCCCGCUCGCCGGAAGACCAAGGGUUCCUGUCCAACGUUAAUCGGGGCAGGGUGAGUCGACCCCUAAGGCGAGGCCGAAAGGCGUAGUCGAUGGGAAACAGGUUAAUAUUCCUGUACUUGGUGUUACUGCGAAGGGGGGACGGAGAAGGCUAUGUUGGCCGGGCGACGGUUGUCCCGGUUUAAGCGUGUAGGCUGGUUUUCCAGGCAAAUCCGGAAAAUCAAGGCUGAGGCGUGAUGACGAGGCACUACGGUGCUGAAGCAACAAAUGCCCUGCUUCCAGGAAAAGCCUCUAAGCAUCAGGUAACAUCAAAUCGUACCCCAAACCGACACAGGUGGUCAGGUAGAGAAUACCAAGGCGCUUGAGAGAACUCGGGUGAAGGAACUAGGCAAAAUGGUGCCGUAACUUCGGGAGAAGGCACGCUGAUAUGUAGGUGAAGUCCCUCGCGGAUGGAGCUGAAAUCAGUCGAAGAUACCAGCUGGCUGCAACUGUUUAUUAAAAACACAGCACUGUGCAAACACGAAAGUGGACGUAUACGGUGUGACGCCUGCCCGGUGCCGGAAGGUUAAUUGAUGGGGUUAGCGCAAGCGAAGCUCUUGAUCGAAGCCCCGGUAAACGGCGGCCGUAACUAUAACGGUCCUAAGGUAGCGAAAUUCCUUGUCGGGUAAGUUCCGACCUGCACGAAUGGCGUAAUGAUGGCCAGGCUGUCUCCACCCGAGACUCAGUGAAAUUGAACUCGCUGUGAAGAUGCAGUGUACCCGCGGCAAGACGGAAAGACCCCGUGAACCUUUACUAUAGCUUGACACUGAACAUUGAGCCUUGAUGUGUAGGAUAGGUGGGAGGCUUUGAAGUGUGGACGCCAGUCUGCAUGGAGCCGACCUUGAAAUACCACCCUUUAAUGUUUGAUGUUCUAACGUUGACCCGUAAUCCGGGUUGCGGACAGUGUCUGGUGGGUAGUUUGACUGGGGCGGUCUCCUCCUAAAGAGUAACGGAGGAGCACGAAGGUUGGCUAAUCCUGGUCGGACAUCAGGAGGUUAGUGCAAUGGCAUAAGCCAGCUUGACUGCGAGCGUGACGGCGCGAGCAGGUGCGAAAGCAGGUCAUAGUGAUCCGGUGGUUCUGAAUGGAAGGGCCAUCGCUCAACGGAUAAAAGGUACUCCGGGGAUAACAGGCUGAUACCGCCCAAGAGUUCAUAUCGACGGCGGUGUUUGGCACCUCGAUGUCGGCUCAUCACAUCCUGGGGCUGAAGUAGGUCCCAAGGGUAUGGCUGUUCGCCAUUUAAAGUGGUACGCGAGCUGGGUUUAGAACGUCGUGAGACAGUUCGGUCCCUAUCUGCCGUGGGCGCUGGAGAACUGAGGGGGGCUGCUCCUAGUACGAGAGGACCGGAGUGGACGCAUCACUGGUGUUCGGGUUGUCAUGCCAAUGGCACUGCCCGGUAGCUAAAUGCGGAAGAGAUAAGUGCUGAAAGCAUCUAAGCACGAAACUUGCCCCGAGAUGAGUUCUCCCUGACUCCUUGAGAGUCCUGAAGGAACGUUGAAGACGACGACGUUGAUAGGCCGGGUGUGUAAGCGCAGCGAUGCGUUGAGCUAACCGGUACUAAUGAACCGUGAGGCUUAACCUUACAACGCCGAAGGUGUUU